rnacentral:rRNA from 1 species
AACGAACGCUGGCGGAAUGCUUUACGCAUGCAAGUCGAACGGUAGAGGGGGCAACCCCUCGAGAGUGGCGAACGGGUGAGUAAUAUAUCGGAACGUGCCCAGUCGUGGGGGAUAACGUAGCGAAAGUUACGCUAAUACCGCAUACGAUCUAAGGAUGAAAGCGGGGGAUCGCAAGACCUCGCGCGAUUGGAGCGGCCGAUAUCAGAUUAGGUAGUUGGGGGGGUAAAGGCUCACCAAGCCAACGAUCUGUAGCUGGUCUGAGAGGACGACCAGCCACCCUGGAACUGAGACACGGUCCAGACUCCUACGGGAGGCAGCAGUGGGGAAUUUUGGACAAUGGACGCAAGUCUGAUCCAGCCAUUCCGCGUGCAGGAUGAAGGCCCUCGGGUUGUAAACUGCUUUUGUACGGAACGAAAAGGUCUCUCUUAAUACGGGGGGCUCAUGACGGUACCGUAAGAAUAAGCACCGGCUAACUACGUGCCAGCCGCCGCGGUAA